rnacentral:rRNA from 1 species
AUGCACGCUGGCGGCGUGCCUAAUACCUGCAAGUCGAGCGCACGGACGAGAAGCUUGCUUUUCUGAUGUUAGCGGCGGACGGGUGAGUAACACGUGGAUAACCUACCUAUAAGACUGGGAUAACUUCGGGAAACCGGAGCUAAUACCGGAUAAUAUUUUGAACCGCAUGGUUCAAAAGUGAAAGACGGUCUUGCUGUCACUUAUAGAUGGAUCCGCGCUGCAUUAGCUAGUUGGUAAGGUAACGGCUUACCAAGGCAACGAUGCAUAGCCGACCUGAGAGGGUGAUCGGCCACACUGGAACUGAGACACGGUCUAGACUCCUACGGGAGGCAGCAGUAGGGAAUCUUCCGCAAUGGGCGAAAGCCUGACGGAGCAACGCCGCGUGAGUGAUGAAGGUCUUCGGAUCGUAAAACUCUGUUAUUAGGGAAGAACAUAUGUGUAAGUAACUGUGCACAUCUUGACGGUACCUAAUCAGAAAGCCACGGCUAACUACGUG